rnacentral:rRNA from 1 species
AGUGAACGCUGGCGGUAGGCCUAACACAUGCAAGUCGAACGGCAGCACAGUAAGAGCUUGCUCUUACGGGUGGCGAGUGGCGGACGGGUGAGGAAUACAUCGGAAUCUACUUUUUCGUGGGGGAUAACGUAGGGAAACUUACGCUAAUACCGCAUACGACCUACGGGUGAAAGCAGGGGAUCUUCGGACCUUGCGCGAUUGAUUGAGCCGAUGUCGGGUUAGCUAGUUGGCGGGGUAAAGGCCCACCAAGGCGACGAUCCGUAGCUGGUCUGAGAGGAUGAUCAGCCACACUGGAACUGAGACACGGUCCAGACUCCUACGGGAGGCAGCAGUGGGGAAUAUUGGACAAUGGGCGCAAGCCUGAUCCAGCCAUACCGCGUGGGUGAAGAAGGCCUUCGGGUUGUAAAGCCCUUUUGUUGGGAAAGAAAAGCAGCAGGUUAAUACCCCGCUGUUCUGACGGUACCCAAAGAAUAAGCACCGGCUAACUUCGUG